rnacentral:misc_RNA from 1 species
GGAAGGAUCAUUACCACACCUCAAAAGAAAGCCUGGCUCUGGUUUCGGCCGGAGCUUGGUGAGUCCCGUGGAUUUAUUCACAAACUUUUCGACCUGUUGCUUGCCUGCUGCUUCAUUGCAGUAAGUCGGCACUUGUCUAAACAACUAAUUUUCUUCCACUUUUUCGAAAGUGCGAUUAAAAUCCAAACAUCCUGUUUACGAACUCAUUCGAAAGUCAAGUGAGGGAAUCAGAGAAGAAAACAUGCUCUCGGGCUGUUGUCGUCUCUCCCUCCUCGAUGAAAAUGAAGUAACGUUAACACUUUCAGCAACGGAUGUCUUGGCUCCCACAACGAUGAAGAACGCAGCGAAAUGCGAUACGUAAUGCGAAUUGCAGAAAAUUGUGAGUCAUCAAAACUUUGAACGCAACUUGCACUUCCCUUCGGGGGAGUAUGUCUGUUGGAGUGUCUGUUCAUCCCCAUUUCUCACCAUUCUUGGUCAGAAGCGCCGGCCGCUUGUCGUACGUUCCUGUUGGGGCGACGGAUGAGUGAGCCCAGAUGAAAGACCAACGAUCAAACGAACUCGCCCAUGCUUCACCUGCCUCUUUGGUGGGUUGGCUCGGUCGACGCGACGUGAAAGGUCUUAAUUGCACCUCAACAACGCGUCUUCAUUCCAAACGAGCUGUGCGAGCCUAGGCAACCAAGAGUUCAUCCGACCGGACCUCCAAUCAGACAAGAUUACCCGCUGAAUUUAAGCAUAUUAUUAAGCGGAGGAAAAGAAACUAACAAGGAUUCCCUCAGUAACGGCGAGUGAAGCGGGAAGAGCUCAGACUGAAAAUCUUCGGAGUUGUAGUCUGUAGAAGCUAUGCCGGUCGUCUGCCACGGGUCAAGUCUCCUGGAACGGAGCACCAAGGAGGGUGACAGUCCCGUUUAUACCUGUGGACGGCGGCGUACGGUUGGCUUUCCAAGAGUCGAGUUGCUUGGGAUUGCAGCUCUAAGCGGGUGGUAAAUUCCAUCUAAAGCUAAAUAUUGGUGGGAGACCGAUAGCGAACAAGUACCGUGAGGGAAAGAUGCAAAGAACUUUGAAAAGAGAGUUAAAGAGUACCUGAAAUUGCUGAAAUGGAACCGAUGGGAGGCAGUGUUGGCGGGCUAUCAUUCUGCAGUGUCCGCGUGCGGGCGUUGUUUAUGGUGGUCAGCAAGUUAGGCUUCCUUAUCUGCGUGGGAGAGGCCCUUGACCAGACUCUGGGCAAGGACAGCCGUCAUGCGGGUGAGGGACUCUGACGAAAUGCCUCUUAUCAUCCCGUCUUGAAACACGGACCAAGGAGUCUAACAUGUGUGCGAGUGCUCGGGUUGAAUCCCCCAGCGCGGAAUUAAUGUGAAGGCGAACCUAGUUUGCUGAGGUAGGAAGCCGUCAAAAGCUGCACUAUCGACCGACCAUGAUCCUUCGAGAGAAAGGUUUGAGUGUGAGCAUACAUGUUGGGACCCGAAAGAUGGUGAACUAUGCCUGAGUAGGGCGAAGCCAGGGGAAACUCUGGUGGAGGUCCGUAGCGAUUCUAACGUGCAAAUUGAUCGUCGAACUUGGGUAUAGGGGCGAAAGACUAAUCGAACCAUCUAGUAGCUGGUUCCUCC